UUAAAAAAUUAGGAAAAAAGAAAAGUAGAAAAUAGGAAGAUACGGCGUUCUUACUACUUCCCCUCCGAUCGCGAAAGAAGUCAUCGUCUAUCAUUCGCCCCCAUCAGUGGCAGCCUUCGGAACGACGGUUUUUUACUCUCCUCAGACCAAAUUCACGAUGACUGAAGCCAUUGAACAACCAUUUAGGCCUCGUGAAAAACUUAUUGAAAGGCAAAAGCUUUUUCAGAGCAUUCAUAAGCACACAUAUCUUAAAGGCCCAUUGGAUAAAGUCACCUCUGUUGCCAUUCCAAUCGCUUUGGCAGCUUCAUCGUUGUAUCUUAUUGGACGGGGGAUCUAUAACAUGUCACAUGGAAUUGGGAAGAAAGAAUGAGGUUAUAGUCUCUUUGCAUGUUAAUUUCGAAGAGUUUUUAUGCUCUGGAUCCUUCUUAAUUUUGUUAUUGAAGUAUCUCUGCCUAAUAAUUGCUUAGUUGCAGACUCAACUACCAAUUGAUUUGAAUAUCAUUUUCAGAUUCUUUGUUGUGUGUAUUGGAAUUGUUUGUCUCAGAUUGUUGUUUUUCUCCUUUUUUGAGAAAUUGUGUGGUUGAGUUUGGUUUCCUAAGAUUCCUAAAGUUGUGAUGCCAAUGUAUAUUGAGAUUCUGGAAGCCCAAUGGUGGUGAAAUAAGAAAAUGAGGAUUAGCAACA